GUCACAAUUGCAACACUCAGAACCUACGCGAAUAUGGUUACUGUAUAAUUCAUCCCUUUUGACCCCUGUGUAUAGGACAACUCAGGAUUAAACUGUCAACCCUGAUUAGAUUAUCCGAAUCGUGCUCAACUCAAACAGUCCUGUGACUCCUCACAGGACUACUCUGGUUAAGAUUUUGCUAAAUUAAAAUAUGACUGUACACAACUCCUGAACUGGAGUGGUCAAUCCCAUCUUGACAUACGCACCAACAAGUCAAGUACUUGACUACACCCACC
rnacentral:lncRNA from 1 species